rnacentral:rRNA from 1 species
ACUCUGAUCCNGCCNUGCCGCGUGUAGGAAGACUGCCCUAUGGGUUGUAAACUACUUUUAUAUGGGAAGAAUAAGGUCUACGUGUAGACUGAUGACGGUACCAUAAGAAUAAGCACCGGCUAACUCCGUGCCAGCAGCCGCGGUAAUACGGAGGGUGCAAGCGUUAUCCGGAAUCAUUGGGUUUAAAGGGUCCGUAGGCGGGCAUAUAAGUCAGUGGUGAAAGUCUGUGGCUCAACCAUAGAAUUGCCAUUGAUACUGUAUGUCUUGAAUUAUUGUGAAGUGGUUAGAAUAUGUAGUGUAGCGGUGAAAUGCUUAGAGAUUACAUAGAAUACCGAUUGCGAAGGCAGAUCACUAACAAUAUAUUGACGCUGAUGGACGAAAGCGUAGGUAGCGAACAGGAUUAGAUACCC